CAAACACCCUUCUGUCUGUAGACUCUUGCAGGGCAUCCGCAUCGCUAGACCCCCGACUCCCAAAUAUAAUCAAUUCUGGGACGUGGCCAUCAUGCUCAUGUUCUUGGAAGCUUGGCCGGACAACGAGGCGCUCUCCCUACGCCAAUUGUCAGCCAAAUUAGCUCUCCUCCUUUGCUUGGUCUCCUUCCGAAGAGUUUCCGACAUCAGGG